rnacentral:rRNA from 1 species
UCCUACGGGACGCAGCAGUGGGGAAUAUUGGGCAAUGGGGGGAACCCUGACCCAGCGACGCCGCGUGAGGGAAGAAGGUUUUCGGAUUGUAAACCUCUGUCCUUGGUGACGAUAAUGACGGUAGCCAAGGAGGAAGCCACGGCUAACUACGUGCCAGCAGCCGCGGUAAUACGUAGGUGGCGAGCGUUAUCCGGAUUUAUUGGGUUUAAAGGGUGCGUAGGCGGGCUUUUAAGUCAGCGGUAAAAAUUCGGGGCUCAACCCCGUCCGGUCGUUGAAACUGGGGGCCUUGAGUGGGCGAGAAGAAG